GAUGAACGCUGGCGGCGUGCCUAAUACAUGCAAGUCGAGCGAACAGACGAGGAGCUUGCUCCUCUGACGUUAGCGGCGGACGGGUGAGUAACACGUGGAUAACCUACCUAUAAGACUGGGAUAACUUCGGGAAACCGGAGCUAAUACCGGAUAAUAUAUUGAACCGCAUGGUUCAAUAGUGAAAGACGGUUUUGCUGUCACUUAUAGAUGGAUCCGCGCCGCAUUAGCUAGUUGGUAAGGUAAAGGCUUAUCAAGGCAACGAUGCGUAGCCGACCUGAGAGGGUGAUCGGCCACACUGGAACUGGGACACGGUCCAGACUCCUACGGGAGGCAGCAGUAGGGAAUCUUCCGCAAUGGGCGAAAGCCUGACGGAGCAACGCCGAGUGAGUGAUGAAGGUCUUCGGAUCGUAAUACUCUGUUAUUAGGUAAGAACAAAUGUGUAAGUAACUAUGCACGUCUUGACGGUACCUAAUCAGAAAGCCACGGCUAACUACGUG
rnacentral:rRNA from 1 species